rnacentral:tRNA from 1 species
GCAAAAAUAGCUCAAAGGUAGAGUAUAACCUUGCCAAGGUUAAUGUUGAGGGUUCAAAUCCCUUUUUUUGCU